AGUUUUCUGACGAGUCCAAAACGGGACGAAACGUGCAUCCUGAAU
rnacentral:hammerhead_ribozyme from 1 species